rnacentral:tRNA from 2 species
GCGAGGAUGGCGGAAUUGGCAGACGCGCCAGACUUAGGAUCUGGUGCCCGCAAGGGCGUGGGGGUUCAAGUCCCCCUUCUCGCA